GCUUGUGUUUUGGGCAGCACUUAUUGCUGGCAUCUGAGACUGAUGAUCUCUUGUUUUGGGUGCUAAAGUAAUACAAUCUAGUUCAAUCCCAAGCCCCACAGAUUGAGAUAAUGAUGCAUAUUAAAAUAUAUGGCUCUCAGUCUUUAUUUAGAGAUAUAGUAAGAUUUUUGAUUUUCCAAGUAAAUUACUCAUUUCUGUAGCUGCAGAAAUAUAAAACACAGUCAGGAAAGGAAAGGAAAGAUGUUUGGAGUGGUGUUUUCCUGAGGACACAAGUGGUUCCUAGUAAGGUUCCUGUUUUGCAGCUAUAAAUAGUAGAUUUUGUCCAUGCUGUCCCUCAACCUCAUCUGUCUGCUUUUUGACCAAAGGCUGCUGUCAGUUUUCACUUAGCUGCCAACAUCUUUUCUGUUUUACUUUGUACCAAGUGCUGUGAGAGGGGCUGCGGGUCACUGUCAUUGCUCCUCUUUUUCUUACGGUGAUUAUUUUUAGCCACAGUCCUAAGGAAAUACUGCUUUCUUAUGAGGAACCCACCUUUAUGUAUCUUAAAGAAUAUUCAUUCACCUCUUUGUAGAUUGUGUAAUGCUAUAAAUAUAUGCAUAAAAUAUCUGUCCUUGUAACCAAUAGCAAUGCACAAGUGGUACCACUGCUGGUUUUGUAGUCAUUCCAGCUGAAGGCAAGUUUUAUGCUACUGAUUAUGGACAGAUAAUCUCCUGUUCUGCACAUUGGUUCUACUCAGCUUUCUCUCUUCGGAGGAAUUUGACUGCCUUUUGGACAUUCAGACUUAAAGUCUGCUUAGGUAGAGCCAUGAGAGAUGAUAAAGGUGGAGGAAAGAUCAGGAAAGCUGGACUCUGGCUUCAUAUGAAGGUCGUACUUCCCAGAACAGGAAACCAGUCUGAAGGUAGAACAACAAGGAGAAAAACCAUGGAGGAGAAAAUCUGGUGGAAUAUGAAGCUAAAAAGAGAAGGCAUUUUAUUUUAUUUUAUUUUUAUUUUUUUUCUGGCAUCCAUGAUAACAUUGGCUCACUAAUUAACCAAAUUAUAAAGGCUUUGUAAUGACCCUGACUAAUCAACAACAGAACCAUUUAUUAUUCCAUUACCAUGGUGGUUCAUCAGAACAGUAGCGAUCCAUUGAUGUUACUGUAGACACUUGGUUGGCCCUUUGUGUCGAAGAUUUUUCUACUGAAGAAUAUCCUGCUGAAACUAAAAGUUUUGCAAGAAUUUGUCAAAUCCAAUGAAAACAUAGGCUGAUAAAAUAUAAAAACAAAUAGUUUGGUUUCGAAUUGGCAUUUGGAAAUGAAAUGGCAAUCUUCGUUUCAUUUUGACAUGGAACAUUGUUACAUUUAAGAUAAAAAUGAAGCAAAACAAAAAUGACGCUUUGUGUCAAACAGUUGAUAUGAAAUGACAGUGAUGAAGUCUACAACAUCCCGUGACCUUAUUCUGUUUAAAUUGAAGAACGAAAAUGUCAGUUUUGGAAAAUACCGUACAUUUUCAUCAUAAACAAACAGUUGGAAAGGAACUGUGUUUUGCUUGUGCAAUUAAGUGUGAAAAAUAUGUAUUUCAAGAAGUAACAUCUGUAUUCUGAGUGGGAUGAAGCAGAUGAGGGUAGCUGUAAGUGAUCUGGCAUUCCUGAAGCAGUCUAUGCACAGUACAAGUGUACAUCAUGCGAUGUUUCAGGUUGCUUGGCUGCUUUUGGCACUCACACUCUCAUAUUUAUGGCUGGCCUGAGGAUGUACACCCUGCAUGGUGGAAUGCAGCAGAGGCACAUCCUUAUUUAAUGUCUAAGCAUGGGAGUAGUUGUUACUCUGAGAUGUCAGCUGGUUAUUUCUUAGUGAAGCUGUCAUGGGAAUUGCGUGCUGUGGAAUUUAUAUUACUACCUUAAAAUGCUGUACAAUUUCUUUAGAUUAAAGAACAUUGUCAUUUAAAUCAAAUGCACAUUUUAUAUUUGUCAGCUUCCCUUGGUUCUUAAUGUGUUUUGAAUUUAAAAAUUUGAAUUUGCUUUCACUUUGAGUUACUCUCUCUUCCACAAC
rnacentral:lncRNA from 1 species